CCUACGGGUGGCAGCAGUGAGGAAUAUUGGUCAAUGGGCGAGAGCCUGAACCAGCCAAGUCGCGUGAAGGAUGACGGCCCUACGGGUUGUAAACUUCUUUUGUCAGGGAGCAAUUGGGUCCACGCGUGGGCUUAGCGAGAGUACCUGAAGAAAAAGCAUCGGCUAACUCCGUGCCAGCAGCCGCGGUAAUACGGAGGAUGCGAGCGUUAUUCGGAUUUAUUGGGUUUAAAGGGUGCGUAGGCGGAAUAUCAAGUCAGCGGUAAAAAUUCGGGGCUCAACCCCGUCGUGCCGUUGAAACUGAUGUUCUGGAGUGGGCGAGAAGUAUGCGGAAUGCGUGGUGUAGCGGUGAAGUGCAUAGAUAUCACGCAGAACUCCGAUUGAGAAGGCAGCAUACCGGCGCCCAACUGACGCUGAAGCACGAAAGCGUGGGUAUCGAACAGGAUUAGAUACCCGAGUAGUC
rnacentral:rRNA from 1 species